rnacentral:rRNA from 1 species
UACAGAGGGGGCAAGCGUUGUUCGGAAUUACUGGGCGUAAAGGGCGCGUAGGUGGCCUCCUAAGUCGAACGUGAAAUCCCUGGGCUCAACCCAGGAACUGCGUCCGAGACUGGGAGGCUUGAAUCCGGGAGAGGGAUGCGGAAUUCCAGGUGUAGCGGUGAAAUGCGUAGAUAUCUGGAGGAACACCGGUGGCGAAGGCGGCAUCCUGGACCGGUAUUGACACUGAGGCGCGAAAGCCAGGGGAGCAAACGGG